rnacentral:tRNA from 1 species
GGAGAGGUACUCAAGUGGCUAAAGAGGACGGUUUGCUAAACCGUUAGUAGGGUGUAACCCUAGCAUGGGUUCAAAUCCCAUCCUCUCCGCCA